UACAGAGGUCCCGAGCGUUGUUCGGAUUCACUGGGCGUAAAGGGUGCGUAGGUGGUGAGGCAAGUCGGAUGUGAAAUUCUGGAGCUUAACUCCGGAACGGCAUUGGAAACUGCCUUGCUGGAGGGUUGGAGGGGGGACUGGAAUUCUCGGUGUAGCAGUGAAAUGCGUAGAUAUCGAGAGGAACACCGGUGGCGAAGGCGAGUCCCUGGACAACACCUGACACUGAGGCACGAAAGCUAGGGGAGCAAACAGG
rnacentral:rRNA from 1 species